UACGGGGGGGAGCAAGCAUUGUUCGGAUUUACUGGGCGUAAAGGGCGCGUAGGCGGCCUCUGCAAGUCGACUGUGAAAUCUCCGGGCUUAACCCGGAAAGGUCAGCCGAUACUGCGGGGCUAGAGUGCGGAAGGGGCAACUGGAAUUCUCGGUGUAGCGGUGAAAUGCGUAGAUAUCGAGAGGAACACCUGCGGCGAAGGCGGGUUGCUGGGCCGACACUGACGCUGAUGCGCGAAAGCCAGGGGAGCGAACGGG
rnacentral:rRNA from 1 species